rnacentral:rRNA from 1 species
UCCGGAAACCGGGGCUAAUACCGGAUAAUACAUGAAACCGCAUGGUUUCAUGAUGAAAGACGGUUUUGCUGUCACUUAUAGAUGGACCCGCGGCGUAUUAGCUAGUUGGUAAGGUAACGGCUUACCAAGGCAACGAUACGUAGCCGACCUGAGAGGGUGAUCGGCCACACUGGAACUGAGACACGGUCCAGACUCCUACGGGAGGCAGCAGU